CAGAUUUGUAGUGGGAAAUUUUCUGAUAAUCUUCCUGAUUCAAGGCGAUAUACAACAUAAUUAUUGCCUUAGUGUUGUAUUCACUUACCUUGGCUUUCCCAACUUUUGUCGUCAUCUGUUCACCAUGCUUGAUGAUUUGCCAUAGAUAAAAGUUGUUGGCUGUGAUGAAAAUUCUCAUCCGAUCUUUUCAAUAUGUGUAAUUGCUUCCAUCAAAUAUUGGCGGCAACAAGUUAAAGUGACCUUCACCUAUUCUUGCAAAAGAGUCACGAGUAGAAGCCAUGGA
rnacentral:lncRNA from 1 species